GCCGGCAUUGUGUGGCUUUGAAAUGCAAAUAUACGGCCGGCUGGGGAGCCUGGGGCCCAGGAGGGAGGGGAGAGGUGGUCUUGGCCAGGCUGACCACCGAGAGACUGGGGGUAUUCUCAUUCCGGCUGGCUCAUCUCUCCAGGAAGAAGGAAAUGGACUCUCCCGAUGGCUGGAAGAGCAGGAGGUUUGGGGGCACAUCUGGGAACUGUCCAUCCAUGCUGUCCUGCUCUCCAUUCAGUUCAACUGCAUUCUGAGCUCCAGACACAGACUCACGACUGAAUUAAAGUAGAACCUCUGAUGGGUUGGGGGUCCACUUUCCUGGGCUUUUGGAGACACAGCGUUUAUACCACUCAGCCUUGCUCCAAAAGUUGUCCACUGCCUUCGGGGAAAAGUCUCAAUUCUAUAUCCUGGCCCUGAUUCUGACACUAGUUCCAUCCUGCGUUCGAGCAGGGCCAGGGUCCCCGCUGGGACCUCACUGCCGAGGAGGCACUCCUCCCCAGCCUCUCCAGCUCUCCCAGUUCCUCCCAUGCAUCCGGUCCCAGCUCCUGGCCAGCUUCAAGGAGGAGUCAGUCUCGACCAGUCCACAGACUUCUCCCCAUUCUCUCUACC